GAUGAACGCUGGCGGCGUGCCUAAUACAUGCAAGUCGAGCGAACAGACGAGGAGCUUGCUCCUCUGACGUUAGCGGCGGACGGGUGGGUAACACGUGGAUAACCUACCUAUAAGACUGGGAUAACUUCGGGAAACCGGAGCUAAUACCGGAUAAUAUAUUGAACCGCAUGGUUCAAUAGUGAAAGACGGUUUUGCUGUCACUUAUAGAUGGAUCCGCGCCGCAUUAGCUAGUUGGUAAGGUAACGGCUUACCAAGGCAACGAUGCGUAGCCGACCUGAGAGGGUGAUCGGCCACACUGGAACUGAGACACGGUCCAGACUCCUACGGGAGGCAGCAGUAGGGAAUCUUCCGCAAUGGGCGAAAGCCUGACGGAGCAACGCCGCGUGAGUGAUGAAGGUCUUCGGAUCGUAAAACUCUGUUAUUAGGGAAGAACAAAUGUGUAAGUAACUAUGCACGUCUUGACGGUACCUAACCAGAAAGCCACGGCUAACUACGUG
rnacentral:rRNA from 1 species